UACGGGGGGGGUAAGCGUUGUUCGGAAUUACUGGGCGUAAAGGGCUCGUAGGCGGCCAACUAAGUCAGACGUGAAAUCCCUCAGCUUAACUGGGGAACUGCGUCUGAUACUGGAUGGCUUGGAUUCGGGAGAGGAAUGCGGAAUUCCAGGUGUAGCGGUGAAAUGCUUAGAUAUGACAUAGAACACCGAUUGCGAAGGCAGCUUGCUACACGAUCAUUGACACUGAGGCACGAAAGCGUGGGGAUCAAACAGG
rnacentral:rRNA from 1 species